rnacentral:lncRNA from 1 species
UUCUCAUCUAUAGUAAGAUUAAGGAGUAACACCGUGACCAUCUCACACAAGUUUGUUCUAUCCUAUGUGCAAAUAAUUUGUAUGCUAACGUCAAGAAGUGCUCUUUCUUCAUCGAUACAGUUGAUUUCCUAGGUUUCAUUGUCUCUUCGACAGGGGUAUCUGCUGAUCCUGCCAAGAUUCAGGCAAUUUUUGACUAGCCUGAACCUAAGACUAUUCAUGACGUUAGGAGCUUUCACGAUUUAGCUACAUUUUACUGUCACUUUAUCAAGGGGUUUAGCACCAUUAUAGCGCCUAUUACGGAGUGCAUGAAGAAAUGGGAGUUUCAUUGGACACAAGAGGCGGCUAAGGCCUUUAAGUUGGUCAAGAAGCGAAUGUCUUCCAAAAUUUUCCAAAGUCUUUAAGGUCGAGUGUGAUGCUUUCGGGGUAGGUAUAGACGGAGUCUUGAGUCAAGAUCGUCACCAUGUUGCCUACUUCAAUGAGAAGUUAAAUGAGGCCAAACAACGGUACUCAACUUAUGAUAAGAAAUUGUAUGCGGUUGUCCAGGCUUUGCGUUAUUGGCGCCACUAUUUGUUGCCUCAAGAGUUUGUUCUUUAUUUAGACCACGAGGCCCUCUGUUACCUCAACUCCCAGAAAAGAUUGAGCUCUAGGCAUGGUCAUUGGAUUGAAUAUUUGCAAGCCUACUCGUUUGUCUUAAAACAAAGAAGGGCGUGGAGAACCAAUCAACUGAUGCUUUAAGUCGUCGUGUCUCCCUUUUGUCGAUCAUGAGCUUCAAGGUAUUCGGUUUUGAAAGGCUUAAGGAGGAUUAUGAGACGUGUCUUGAUUUUAAGGAUAUCUUUCUUGAUUUGCAAGGUGGACAGUCAGAUAUCACAGAUGACUUCCGACUUGAGGAGGUUUACCUUUUUAGAGCUAAUAAAUUGUGCAUCCCUCGAACCUCAGUGCGGGAUUUCAUAGUGUGGGAAGUUCAUGUGGGAGGUUUAGCCGGUCACUUUGGGCGUGAUAAGAUCAUAGAGGAUAUUGAACGCCAAUUCUAUUGGUCAAGUUUGAAGAAAGACGUGGCUAAAAUUGUUGGUACAUGUAGCACUUGUCAAUUGGCCAAACAGAAGAGGCAAAACACAGGCCUAUACACUUCUAUUUCCGUCCCUAAUUGUCCUUGACAAGAUGUUAGUAUGGAUUUUGUGUUAGGAGUUUCACGCACCCCAAAGAAACAUGAUUCUAUUUUUGUGGUUGUCGAUCGUUUUUCGAAAAUGGCUCACUUUAUCCCCUAUAGCAAGACCUCAGAUACGUCCAAAGUUGUCAUGUUGUUCUUUAAUGAGAUUGUCAAAUUGUAUGGGUUUCCUAAGACCAUUGUGUCCAAUAGGAAUGUUCGUUUCACUAGUCAUUUUUGGAGAAUUUUGUGGCAAAAGAUGGGUACCAAAUUGAAUUUUUCUAUGGCCUGUCAGCCUCAGACUGACGGUUAAAUUGAAGUAGUUAAUCGUAGUCUUGGUAAUUUGUUACUAUGUCUGGUCCGGGAAAAUCUUCAAAAUUGAGAUUUGAUCUUUCCUAUAGCUCAAAUUACGUAUAACAGUUCCAUAAAUCGUUCAUUAGUCCAUUUGAAGCUGUUCAUGGGUAUAUGCCUAGGAAGUCGUUAGAUCUCAUUCCUAUGUCUCCACAAGAUAGAGUGUUAGUGUCAGUCGAAGCAUUUGCACAACAUCUUCGUGAUUUGCAUAUUGAGAUUAAUAAACAACUUGAAGCCAGUAAUGCAAAAUAUAAACUCCAAGCUGAUUUGCAUAAACGACAUGUUGAGUUUAACAGUGGG